GAGGAAGUUGUUCCGUUUAUCUAGACCUCUAUUUCUUCAUCUGUAAAACGGAACAUGGCAAAUUACAUUUUCCAUUCCAUUUGCUCUUCUGUAAUGUGGCUUUGCCACACCUCCACCAAGAGAUGGAGUCUAUGAACUUGCCGCUAGAAUCUGGGCUUGGCGACUUGCUUCUAAGCAACAGAACACAACAAUACACCUGACCUUUGUGUAACUUCAGAGGUGAGGUCAUAAAACGCUGUGCAGAACCCACUCAAUGCUACGAGAAGCCCAAGCCCUGUGGAGAGACCAUGGAAGUGGCUUGGGUCAAUAGUCCCAGCAGAGCUGAGCCUUCAAGUCUUCCUAGCCCAGGCACCAGAGAUGGGAGAGAGGAACUCUCCAGGUGAUAACGCAGCCUGCAUCGCGAAUCCAGGAGAAAAGGAUGGUCUUCCCAGGAAAUGGUGCCAGAAUAACUCGCUAUUCAUAUGGAAGAAAAUGAAAAUGAUUCCGUAUGUCAUCCCACACAUUAAACAUCCAUUCCAGAUGGAUUAAGGAUUUAAAUAUAAAUGGGAUGCCCAGAAGAAGCCUUGCAUCUGGAUAUCAGCCACAGACACGGAGAUACUCAAAGAAGCAUUGUGCACCUGGAGAGAAACCAGAUAGCCAUUAACAAUCGGACAUAGAAACAUUGGCUGGGCGCAGUGGCUCACGCCUGUAAUUCCAGCACUUUGGGAAGCCGAGGCCGGGCGGAUCACUUGAAGUCAGGAGUUCAAGAUCAGCCUGGCCAACAUGGUGAAACCCUGUCUCUACUAAAAAUACAAAAAUUAGCUGGGUUUGGUGGCUCACACCUGUAAUCCCAGAUAGUCAGGAGGCUGAGGCAGAAGAAUCACAUGAACCCAGGAGGUGGAGGUUGCAGUGAGCUGAGAUUGCACCACUGCACUCCAGCCUGGGUGACAGAGCAAGACUCUGUCUCAAAAAAGAAAAUAGAAGCGUUGUAACAUGAAGAUGAUCAUAUACUAUACAGCAGCCCCCGCUUAUCUGCGGUUCCACUUUCUGUGGUUUCAGUUACCCGUGGUCAACCUCGGUCCGAAAAUAAUUGAAAAGUUCCAGAAAUAAACAAUUAAUGAGUUUUAAA